rnacentral:sRNA from 1 species
UGAUGUGUUUCUGUGACGGAUUAACACCCGUUAGUAGUUAGCUUACGCAACCAACCCCCUUAUCGCCCGUUCGCCUUCUCACGUGCUCACAAAACACUCCUCUCCUCGCGAUCCCGCUCCGCACUCGCGUAGUCCCUAACGAGACUACACGUCGGCUGACCCCUCGGGUAACUCAUCUGACCACACUAGUGCAGGUCAGCUGACCUGUCUGUUUGCCAAGAGAAAAAAGACUUUAAAAAGGGUCAGAUGAAAUCCUUACAUAUCUGAACUUUUAUACUUCUUUACCUCAUGUAAAAUAUUAUUAAAAUGAAUAAUAAUAAUCUGCUUAAAUCAUUUUGAAUUUAAUUAAGAUGACU